GGCCUUAUGGUUGUAAAGCACUUUAAGCGAGGAGGAGGCUACUUUAGUUAAUACCUAGAGAUAGUGGACGUUACUCGCAGAAUAAGCACCGGCUAACUCUGUGCCAGCAGCCGCGGUAAUACAGAGGGUGCGAGCGUUAAUCGGAUUUACUGGGCGUAAAGCGUGCGUAGGCGGCUUAUUAAGUCGGAUGUGAAAUCCCCGAGCUUAACUUGGGAAUUGCAUUCGAUACUGGUGAGCUAGAGUAUGGGAGAGGAUGGUAGAAUUCCAGGUGUAGCGGUGAAAUGCGUAGAGAUCUGGAG
rnacentral:rRNA from 1 species